rnacentral:rRNA from 1 species
GUGAGGAAUUUUGCGCAAUGGGGGCAACCCUGACGCAGCGACGCCGCGUGGAGGACGAAGUCUUUCGGGAUGUAAACUCCUGUCAGUGGGGACGAUAAUGACGGUACCCACAGAGGAAGCACCGGCUAACUCCGUGCCAGCAGCCGCGGUAAGACGGAGGGUGCAAGCGUUGUUCGGAAUUACGGGGCGUAAAGCGUAUGUAGGCGGCAAGUUAAGUUCAAUGUUAAAGCCCACGGCUCAACCGAGGAGAUGCAUUGAAUACUGGCUAGCUAGAGGGUGUUAGAGGAAGACGGAAUUCCCAGUGUAGCGGUGAAAUGCGUAGAUAUUGGGAGGAACAUCGGUAGCGAAAGCGGUCUUCUGGGACAUACCUGACGCUGAGGUACGAAAGCGUGGGGAGCAAACGGGAUUAGAAACCCUAGUAGUCC